rnacentral:rRNA from 1 species
UACGUAGGGUGCAAGCGUUGUCCGGAGUUAUUGGGCGUAAAGCGCGCGCAGGCGGUUCUUUAAGUCUGAUGUGAAAGCCCACGGCUCAACCGUGGAGGGUCAUUGGAAACUGGGGAACUUGAGUACAGAAGAGGAAAGCGGAAUUCCACGUGUAGCGGUGAAAUGCGUAGAUAUCAGGAGGAACACCUGUGGCGAAAGCGGCUCACUGGACCAUAACUGACGCUGAUGCACGAAAGCUAGGGGAGCAAACAGG